rnacentral:rRNA from 1 species
GACGAACGCUGGCGGCGUGCUUAACACAUGCAAGUCGAACGGGCCUGUCUUCUUUUUUGGGGGUGGGUUGAGUGGCGAACGGGUGAGUAUCACGUGAGUAACCUGCCCUUCGGUCCUGGAUAACCGCUUGAAAGGGCGGCUAAUACGGGGUGGUCCGGUUGGUCCGCAUGGGCUGGUCGGGAUAGAUUCACUGUUUUUGGUGUUUCGGCGGGGGAUGGGCUCGCGGCCUAUCAGCUUGUUGGUGGGGUGAUGGCCUACCAAGGCGGUGACGGGUAGCCGGGCGGAGAGGGUGGGCGGCCACACUGGGACUGGGAUACGGCCCAGACUCCUGCGGGAGGCAGCAGUGGGGGGUAUUGCACAAUGGGCGGAAGCCUGAUGCAGCGACGUCGCGUGAGGGAUGGAGGCCUUCGGGUUGUGAACCUCUGUUUCCGGUGGUGAAGGCCCUGUCCGUGUGGUGGGGUUGACGGUAGCCGGGGAUGAAGCGCCGGCUAACUACGUG